rnacentral:rRNA from 1 species
UACGUAGGGACCAAGCGUUGUUCGGAUUUACUGGGCGUAAAGGGCGCGUAGGCGGCAAUUCAAGUUAUCUGUGAAAUCUCCGGGCUUAACUCGGAACGGUCAGAUGAUACUGCUUUGCUAGAGUGCGGAAGGGGCAAUCGGAAUUCUUGGUGUAGCGGUGAAAUGCGUAGAUAUCAAGAGGAACACCUGAGGUGAAGACGGGUUGCUGGGCCGACACGUGACGCUGAGUGCGCGAAAGCCAGGGGAGCAAACGGG